UACAGAGGGGGCAAGCGUUAUUCGGAAUUAUUGGGCGUAAAGGGCGCGUAGGCGGCUACACAAGUGGCGGGUGAAAUCCCUCGGCUUAACCGAGGAACUGCCUGCCAGACUGUGUGGCUUGAGACCGGGAGAGGUGAGUGGAAUUCCCAGUGUAGCGGUGAAAUGCGUAGAUAUUGGGAGGAACACCAGUGGCGAAGGCGGCUCACUGGACCGGAACUGACGCUGAGGAGCGAAAGCAUGGGGAGCGAACAGG
rnacentral:rRNA from 1 species